GAAAACUCAAGCUAAUUACUCCUAGUCAUGAUUAAUUAUAUAUAUCACUGAAGCUGAUCUGAUACCGUUGAUCUAGCCGUCCCGAAUCUUGAUGCGACAAUACGGGUGGGCGACGAUGUGGUCAUCCUGGCCGGAUCAUGAAUCGGACGGCUCAGCCUUGACCGCAUCAACGUCAACAACGAUGGACUGCCACCAAUUUGCCUCACGGCUUUUCCUGUCUCAUCCACGUCGCGAAACACGGGAAGCCUUCACACAGGUGUCGUAUGGCACACUGUGUCUCAGGAUGAUCGGUCAAAUCGAAUGUUCUGUGCCGUGGAUAAGACAGCUUAUAUGAGUACGUCAGAAGAAUCGUGUCGGAAUUUUGUCAAACCCAAAAUUUCUUACGAACCCACGAGCUUUGUUUCUACUGAUAGGAAGGAUGGGUCCCGCAGGAACUAGUUUCGUUUCACCAAAGAACACACCGGUAAAACGUGGGUAGAAAGGAGUAGCUCUUCUUGCUCAUGCUGAGCUCAUCCAUCCUCCCCUCUUCAUGGAAGCACAUGUCGCCUGGCUCUCGUGAUCCUCGUCUCUAAUUCCAAUCCGGUCUCCAUUUCGGAUCCAAAGCGGACAACAUGAUUGCAACAAAUUUCAAUCAACGAAUAAUGGUGCCAUCAGCAUUUAGAUCGAUUCAAAAUGGGUGACGUCUUGAGUUGUGAUGAUGGCCAGAGAAAACAGUAAAUAUGUUUGAUUUAAGACAGCAGAGGACUACUAGAAAUUUGUAUUUACAGAAACUACCACUAUUGGUUGAUUCGUCAAGAAUGAGAGGUCGGAAUAUACUCUGAGAUGGCUUAAACUUGGCUUUGGGAGGACUAAAUGGGGAAAAUAAGCUCAACUGGUCAAAUUAAUGUGACAGGAUGGCACAGUUUUUAUGAAGAUGAUUGAGAUAUAUUCCAUAUUUUGAUGUUUAAACAGUUAGCCUCAGAAAUAUUUUUCAUUUAAUUUAUUCCUUCUACCAAGAUUUGUUGUUCUCCAUGGAUGUGAACCUCCCUAUAUUUGUUAUGUUUGCAAUGCUUGAAGGUGAAUCUGUAUAAAGAAUUUAAACAUAAA